GAGAGAUAGUAAUAGAAGGUGGGACAAAGAGAGAAAACCGAAUAGAAAAGAAGGUAGCUAGCUAGGGUUUUGGCGCGAAGAAGAAUGGGGAAGAAGAAGCUGGAGAUAAAGCGAAUCGAGAACAAAAGCAAUCGGCAGAUAACAUUCUCCAAGAGGCGCAAAGGAUUGAUGAAGAAAGCCCGCGAGUUAUCCAUUCUCUGCGAUGCGAAGUUGGCGCUGCUCAUCUUCUCCAGCACCGGCAAGCUCUACGAGCUUUGCAACGGUGACAGUUUGGCCGAGGUCGUGCAGCGAUAUUGGGAUAACUUAGGAGCGAGCGGUACUGACACAAAGGGACUCCGCUUUGAAAUUGCAGAUAUCUGGUCUGAUGAAGCGUUUUCUCAAUUGGUCCAAAGCCACUUUGGUGUUUCUGAACUUGAGCAUCUGAGUGUGACUGACCUUAUGGAACUAGAGAAACUGGUUCAUUCUGCUCUUUCGCGAAUCAGAUCAGCAAAGAGGAUUGCGUGGAACCGACGAGCGGAGAAGAAAAAGAAAUCUCCAAGUGACGUGACGAGGAACCUGCGGGUAGCUCACAAUAGACUGGUAUCAGAGCCGAUGGUUCGACUUGAUGACCAACUCAAGAUGAGUAAGAUGGCGGCGAUGGAUCCAGUUUAGGGAUCCCGUGUAUCGAAAGUCUUCCUGAUGGUGGGUCCAGGCGGCGUGUCCCGUGGGUGAAGUGACGAUGCAAGUACCUAGAGCAUGUAGGCUCUAAUGACUACCAUAGAAUACUCUGGAUGAUAAUGACUUCCACUUAAGGGGGAGGUUACCAUGUGGAAGAGACUCAUACUUGAGGGAAAGAUUGUUGGAAUACUAGUGUGAGGUGAAGUCCCACAUUGAGUAAAAGUGAAAAAGUUGAACACCAUAUAAGUAAGGAGAAGACCCAUAAACCUGAACCUUAAGGUUUUGGAUUAAAGUGUGGUGUUAAGUUUUCUUAUGCGGUUGCUCAUGGCUCAUUGGUGUAAAUCUCCCCAGUGUUUAGCAUUGAUUACCCAACAUAUAUGACAGAUUAAACUGAGAUGCGAUUGAUGAUGGAAUCUGUAGAGAAUCUUAAGAAAAAGGAACAUAUCUUGAGAAAUGAAAAUGAGCUUUUGGAGAAACAGAUUGAGGCACAGAAAAA